rnacentral:tRNA from 1 species
UGGUGGGUAGCUCAGUGGUAGAGCGCUUAAACAUCCUUGUUCAACCCUUGCCUGCAAAGGACGAAGAAUGAGGGUUAUCGAUUUGGGAUCGAGAGGUCGCGGGUUCAAAUCCCGCCCCACUAC